AUGCUGUGUAAGCCCAGUGCACGUCCUCCCUUUCUGGGGAGGGGCAGUGGGAGCCAGGAAGGAGGCAGGAGAUUCUGGGUUGGGGGUGGGAGAAGCCCUCCUCCUCUCCAGUACUCAGGUCUCGGGAGCAGGGCACCCAGUGUGAAGCAAUCUGCACUUGCGGGGGGGGUGGGGGUGCGGACAGUGGUAUCCGGCAGGUCCACGUUGCCUGAAGCAACGUCUGUCCCCGCUGGGCCUCCUGACGGGCCGUGGAUGGAGAAGGAGCCUGUGUGCAGACAAGUUUCUACCACUCAAGGCCUUCUGGCCUCAGGGUGGGGUCAGGAGAGGGUCCUGGCUCCCCUGCCAGUUCCCUCUCCCGUUCCCAGGUUCUGCCAGGGCACUUCUGGGAGCUCGAUCUUUCUUUGUGUGUGUGAUGCUUUCUGGAGAAGGGAGGUGGUCUUCCCUGUUCCUGGGGCUCUUCCACCCCCAUGGCUGGGCCAGUUGCCAGAGGGUCCAGCCCCUCGUAUUCGGCUACCCUCCCGUCGCGCUGAGACAGCCAACAUCUGUCUUCUCGGUUCUGCUGAAUUUCUCCUUGUCAACCCCCCACCGGUCCCUCAGCGGAGCCCCAACCCCCCCGCCCCCGCCCCUGCAGAGCCCGGCGUUUCCCGCGCACUCGGGCUCGUUGCCUUCAGCCGUGGGAGAGCCCGGGACCCCGAGACUGCUCCUGGGCUCGGCGGGCGAUCGGGGUGUGCGGGCCGCCGCCUCAACCGUGCGAGCCCUUCCCCGCGGGCGGACCGCCAGGCUGGGCUCCUGCCAAGCCGCACGGGCCUCCGCCGCCAGUCCGCGGGGCCCGGCACCGCCUCCCGCAGGCGGCCCCCGCUUUGGGACUCGCGGUCCCGGGGUCUGCAGCAACAGUCCGCGGCUGAGGGACGCGCGCUGUGCGCCGCGUGCUGUGCGGCCAGAACACCCCAGGAUCGCCCCGGAACCCGCUGGACGGGCCCGGGACCCGGGGGAAGCGGGACGCACGGACCGGCUGCUUCCGGCGUCUGGGCGAGGUCACCGCCCCGCCCCUUCCGGCGUCGGCGCCCCGGGUCGGGCGGGCGCGGAGCUGGAGGGAGCUACGCGGUGCAGGCCUAG
rnacentral:lncRNA from 1 species